UACAGAGGGUGCGAGCGUUAAUCGGAUUUACUGGGCGUAAAGCGCGCGUAGGUGGUUAAUUAAGUCAAAUGUGAAAUCCCCGAGCUUAACUUGGGAAUUGCAUUCGAUACUGGUUAGCUAGAGUAUGGGAGAGGAUGGUAGAAUUCCAGGUGUAGCGGUGAAAUGCGUAGAGAUCUGGAGGAAUACCGAUGGCGAAGGCAGCCAUCUGGCCUAAUACUGACACUGAGGUGCGAAAGCAUGGGGAGCAAACAGUAUUAGAUACCCGAGUAGUCC
rnacentral:rRNA from 1 species